rnacentral:rRNA from 1 species
UACGAAGGGGGCUAGCGUUGUUCGGAAUCACUGGGCGUAAAGCGCACGUAGGCGGACUUUUAAGUCAGAGGUGAAAGCCUGGAGCUCAACUUCAGAACUGCCUUUGAUACUGGAAGUCUUGAGUCCGGUAGAGGUGAGUGGAACUGCUAGUGUAGAGGUGAAAUUCGUAGAUAUUAGCAAGAACACCAGUGGCGAAGGCGGCUCACUGGACCGGUACUGACGCUGAGGUGCGAAAGCGUGGGGAGCAAACAGG